UCGGGAAUCUUGCACAAUGGGCGAAAGCCUGAUGCAGCAACGCCGUGUGAGCGAGGAAGGUCUUCGGAUCGUAAAGCUCUGUUGUUGGGGACGAAGGGCGAAGGGUUAAUAGCCCCUAGCCUGACGGUACCCUUCGAGGAAGCCCCGGCUAACUACGUGCCAGCAGCCGCGGUAAUACGUAGGGGGCGAGCGUUGUCCGGAAUUAUUGGGCGUAAAGAGCGUGUAGGCGGCCUGGUAAGUCGGAUGUGAAAGCCCAGGGCUUAACCUUGGAAUUGCAUUCGAUACUGCAUGACUAGAGUAUGGUAGAGGGAAGUGGAAUUUCCGGUGUAGCGGUGAAAUGCGUAGAUAUCGGAAGGAACACCAGUGGCGAAGGCGACUUCCUGGGCCAAUACUGACGCUGAGGCGCGAAAGCGUGGGGAGCAAACAGGAUUAGAUACCCCUGUAGUCC
rnacentral:rRNA from 1 species